rnacentral:rRNA from 1 species
UGGACGAAGUCUGACGGAGCACGCCGCGUGAGUGAUGAAGGUUUUCGGAUCGUAAAGCUCUGUUGUUAGGGAAGAACAAGUGCAAGAGUAACUGCUUGCACCUUGACGGUACCUAACCAGAAAGCCACGGCUAACUACGUGCCAGCAGCCGCGGUAAUACGUAGGUGGCAAGCGUUGUCCGGAAUUAUUGGGCGUAAAGGGCUCGCAGGCGGUUUCUUAAGUCUGAUGUGAAAGCCCCCGGCUCAACCGGGGAGGGUCAUUGGAAACUGGGAAACUUGAGUGCAGAAGAGGAGAGUGGAAUUCCACGUGUAGCGGUGAAAUGCGUAGAGAUGUGGAGGAACACCAGUGGCGAAGGCGACUCUCUGGUCUGUAACUGACGCUGAGGAGCGAAAGCGUGGGGAGCGAACAGGAUUAGAUACCCUGGUAGUCCACGCCGUAAACGAUGAGUGCUAAGUGUUAGGGGGUUUCCGCCCCUUAGUGCUGCAGCUAACGCAUUAAGCACUCCGCCUGGGGAGUACGGUCGCAAGACUGAAACUCAAAGGAAUUGACGGGGGCCCGCACAAGCGGUGGAGCAUGUGGUUUAAUUCGAAGCAACGCGAAGAACCUUACCAGGUCUUGACAUCCUCUGACAACCCUAGAGAUAGGGCUUUCCCUUCGGGGACAGAGUGACAGGUGGUGCAUGGUUGUCGUCAGCUCGUGUCGUGAGAUGUUGGGUUAAGUCCCGCAACGAGCGCAACCCUUGAUCUUAGUUGCCAGCAUUCAGUUGGGCACUCUAAGGUGACUGCCGGUGACAAACCGGAGGAAGGUGGGGAUGACGUCAAA